AUGAAUUUUCUCGUCUGGAACUGUCGGGGCUUGGGGUUGGACCCGACAGUAGGAGAACUAAGGGAUCUGAUUAGAUCAUACAACCCAGCGGUGGUGUUCUUGAGCGAGACUAAGAAGAAGGCGCGAGCGAUGGAGAAGAUCAAGUGGAGUUUGGGGUUUCGGCAGGGUGUUGCUGUGGACUGUGAGGGCAGGAGUGGCGGUUUGGCUUUACUUUGGAGGGAUCACAUUUCCGUCACAGUCAGACCAUGGUGCCAGUACUACAUCGAUGCGGAGAUCUCCUCCGAGGGAAGAACCGUUAGAUUCACUUGA
rnacentral:rRNA from 1 species